UGGGGAAUAUUGCGCAAUGGGCGAAAGCCUGACGCAGCGACGCCGCGUGAGGGACGACGGCCUUCGGGUUGUAAACCUCUUUCAGCAGGGAAGAAGCCGCAAGGUGACGGUACCUGCAGAAGAAGCACCGGCUAACUACGUGCCAGCAGCCGCGGUAAUACGUAGGGUGCAAGCGUUGUCCGGAUUUAUUGGGCGUAAAGAGCUCGUAGGCGGUCUGUCGCGUCGGAUGUGAAACCCCGGGGCUUAACUCCGGGCCUGCAUUCGAUACGGGCAGACUAGAGUGUGGUAGGGGAGACUGGAACUCCUGGUGUAGCGGUGAAAUGCGCAGAUAUCAGGAAGAACACCGGUGGCGAAGGCGGGUCUCUGGGCCACUACUGACGCUGAGGAGCGAAAGCGUGGGGAGCAAACA
rnacentral:rRNA from 1 species